UUAAGUGAAUAAGGGCGCACGGUGGAUGCCUUGGCACUAGGAGCCGAUGAAGGACGGGACUAACACCGAUAUGCUUCGGGGAGCUGUAAGUAAGCUUUGAUCCGGAGAUUUCCGAAUGGGGGAACCCAGCAUCUUUUAUAGGAUGUUACUUUUCAGUGAAUACAUAGCUGAUUAGAGGUAGACGCAGAGAACUGAAACAUCUAAGUACCUGCAGGAAGAGAAAGAAAAAUCGAUUCCCUGAGUAGCGGCGAGCGAAACGGGAAAAGCCCAAACCAAGAGGCUUGCCUCUUGGGGUUGUAGGACUCCGAUACGGUAGUCCAGUGAGAUAGUCGAAGGACCUGGAAAGGUCUGCUAGAAAGGGUAAAAGCCCCGUAGACAAAAUUUGACUGGCACCUAGGAGGAUCCUGAGUACGGCGGAACACGAGGAAUUCCGUCGGAAUCCGGGAGGACCAUCUCCCAAGGCUAAAUACUCCCUAGUGACCGAUAGUGAACCAGUACCGUGAGGGAAAGGUGAAAAGCACCCCGGAAGGGGAGUGAAAUAGAUCCUGAAACCGUGUGCCUACAACAAGUUAGAGCCCGUUAAUGGGUGAUAGCGUGCCUUUUGUAGAAUGAACCGGCGAGUUACGAUUACUUGCGAGGUUAAGUUGAAAAGACGGAGCCGCAGCGAAAGCGAGUCUGAAUAGGGCGAAUGAGUAAGUGGUCGUAGACCCGAAACCAUGUGAUCUACCCAUGUCCAGGUUGAAGGUGCGGUAAAACGCACUGGAGGACCGAACCCACGUACGUUGAAAAGUGCGGGGAUGAGGUGUGGGUAGCGGAGAAAUUCCAAACGAACUUGGAGAUAGCUGGUUCUCUCCGAAAUAGCUUUAGGGCUAGCCUCAGAGUAAGAAUGAUGGAGGUAGAGCACUGUUUGGACUAGGGGCCCAUCUCGGGUUACCGAAUUCAGAUAAACUCCGAAUGCCAUCCAUUCAUCUCUGGGAGUCAGACUGUGAGUGAUAAGAUCCAUAGUCGAAAGGGAAACAGCCCAGACCACCAGCUAAGGUCCCCAAAUAACUAUUAAGUGGAAAAGGAUGUGGGGUUGCACAGACAACUAGGAUGUUGGCUUAGAAGCAGCCACCAUUUAAAGAGUGCGUAAUAGCUCACUAGUCGAGUGACCCUGCGCCGAAAAUGUACCGGGGCUAAAUAGUUUACCGAAGCUGUGGAACACACCAAUAGGUGUGUUGGUAGGAGAGCGUUCUAAGGGCGUUGAAGGUAGAUCGUGAGGACUGCUGGAGCGCUUAGAAGUGAGAAUGCCGGUAUGAGUAGCGAAAGACAGGUGAGAAUCCUGUCCACCGAAUGACUAAGGUUUCCUGGGGAAGGCUCGUCCGCCCAGGGUUAGUCGGGACCUAAGCCGAGGCCGAAAGGCGUAGGCGAUGGAUAACAGGUUGAUAUUCCUGUACCCGUUGUUUUUGUUUGAGCAAUGGAGGGACGCAGGAGGCUAAGGAAUCAGACGAUUGGAAAUGUCUGUCCAAGCAAUAAGUCUUGAUGUGAGUCAAAUGCUUACGUCUUUAAGGACAAGUUGUGAUGGGGAGGGAAAUAAUAGUACCGAAGUUCCUGAUGUCACACUGCCGAGAAAAGCUUCUAGUGAGAAAACAAUGGCCCGUACCGCAAACCGACACAGGUAGUCGAGGAGAGAAUCCUAAGGUGAGCGAGAGAACUCUCGUUAAGGAACUCGGCAAAAUGACCCCGUAACUUCGGGAGAAGGGGUGCUGAUCUAACGAUCAGCCGCAGUGAAUAGGCCCAAGCGACUGUUUAUCAAAAACACAGGUCUCUGCAAAAUCGAAAGAUGACGUAUAGGGGCUGACGCCUGCCCGGUGCUGGAAGGUUAAGAGGAGUGCUUAGCGUAAGCGAAGGUACGAAUUGAAGCCCCAGUAAACGGCGGCCGUAACUAUAACGGUCCUAAGGUAGCGAAAUUCCUUGUCGGGUAAGUUCCGAUCCGCACGAAAGGCGUAACGAUUUGGGCACUGUCUCAACGAGAGACUCGGUGAAAUUUUAGUACCUGUGAAGAUGCAGGUUACCCGCGACAGGACGGAAAGACCCCAUGGAGCUUUACUGUAGUUUGAUAUUGAGUGUUUGUACCACAUGUACAGGAUAGGUAGGAGCCGUAGAAGUCGGGACGCUAGUUUCGACAGAGGCGCUGGUGGGAUACUACCCUUGUGUUAUGACCACUCUAACCCGCACCACUGAUCGUGGUGGGAGACAGUGUCAGAUGGGCAGUUUGACUGGGGCGGUCGCCUCCUAAAGAGUAACGGAGGCGCCCAA
rnacentral:rRNA from 1 species